AUUGAACGCUGGCGGCAUGCCUUACACAUGCAAGUCGAACGGUAACAGGUCUUCGGAUGCUGACGAGUGGCGAACCGGUGAGUAAUGCAUCGGAACGUGCCCAGUAGUGGGGGAUAGCCCGGCGAAAGCCGGAUUAAUACCGCAUACGACCUGAGGGUGAAAGGGGGGGAUCGCAAGACCUCUCGCUAUCGGAGCGGCCGAUGUCAGAUUAGCUAGUUGGUGGGGUAAAGGCCUACCAAGGCAACGAUCUGUAGUUGGUCUGAGAGGACGACCAGCCACACUGGGACUGAGACACGGCCCAGACUCCUACGGGAGGCAGCAGUGGGGAAUUUUGGACAAUGGGCGCAAGCCUGAUCCAGCAAUGCCGCGUGCAGGAAGAAGGCCUUCGGGUUGUAAACUGCUUUUGUCAGGGAAGAAAUCUUCUGGGUUAAUACCUCGGGAGGAUGACGGUACCUGGAGAAUAAGCACCGGCUAACUACGUGCCAGCCGCCGCGGUAACAC
rnacentral:rRNA from 1 species